AAAAAUACGUUGAUCGGAAAAAGUAGAGCAGUGAUGCGCGUCAAAGAGAGCCGGGAUGGUGGAAACCGGUACGAGGCAGCAGCUUGAAUGGGUCCGUGAGUGGCAGCUUGAACGAAAAGUAGAGCGCCCGGCAGCCGGCCGUUAACCGGUUUUAAGGGGAAGCAUUUGCUUCAACGUGAGGUGGCACCGCGGGAAACCGUCCUCCAU
rfam:Domibacillus enclensis strain NIO-1016 genome assembly, contig: Ga0061089_101